rnacentral:tRNA from 1 species
GCUUUUUAGCUACUUACAGCGUUUUGGUUUCGGCCCAAAAAGAAUAGUUUAUACUAUAAAAGCUU